GAUGAACGCUAGCUACAGGCUUAACACAUGCAAGUCGAGGGGUAACGAGAGGAAAGCUUGCUUUCCUUGUCGACGACCGGCGCACGGGUGAGUAACGCGUAUCCAACCUGCCCCCAACUCGGGAAUACCCUUGCGAAAGUAAGACUAAUACCCUAUAAUUUCCUCAGAUGUCAUCUUACGAGGAAUCAAGAUUUAUCGGUUUUGGAUGGGGAUGCGUCUGAUUAGCUUGUUGGCUGGGUAACGGCCUACCAAGGCAACGAUCAGUAUGGGUUCUGAGAGGAAGGUCCCCCACAUUGGAACUGAGACACGGUCCAAACUCCUACGGGAGGCAGCAGCGAGGAAUAUUGGUCAAUGGGCGGAAGCCUGAACCAGCCAAGUAGCGUGCAGGAUGACGGCCCUAUGGGUUGUAAACUGCUUUUAUACAGGAAUAAAGUUAGCCACGUGUGGUUAUUUGUAGGUACUGUAUGAAUAAGGACCGGCUAAUUCCGUGCCAGCCGCCGCGGUAA
rnacentral:rRNA from 1 species